AUCCCAUGGUAAGGGUAAUUUCGUAAUAACUUUUUUACCUUUCCCAUGCCUCAUACAGGAACUCAUCAUCCAUUUGUUGGAAGGCAGUGAUCUCAUUCCUCAACUU
rnacentral:snoRNA from 1 species